rnacentral:rRNA from 1 species
AGAGUUUGAUCCUGGCUCAGGAUGAACGCUAGCGAUAGGCUUAACACAUGCAAGUCGAGGGGCAGCAUUAUUUUAGCUUGCUAAGAUAGAUGGCGACCGGCGCACGGGUGCGUAACGCGUAUGCAACCUGCCUGUAAUUAGGGAAUAACCCGGUGAAAGUCGGACUAAUACCCUAUAUUCUUCUUUCUCCGCAUGGAGGAGGACGGAAAGAUUUAUUGAUUACAGAUGGGCAUGCGUCCCAUUAGCUGGUUGGUAAGGUAACGGCUUACCAAGGCAACGAUGGGUAGGGGGACUGAGAGGUUGACCCCCCACACUGGUACUGAGACACGGACCAGACUCCUACGGGAGGCAGCAGUGAGGAAUAUUGGUCAAUGGGCGAGAGCCUGAACCAGCCAAGUCGCGUGAAGGACGACGGUUCUAUGGAUUGUAAACUUCUUUUGUAGAGGAAUAAUGGCAGCUACGCGUAGCUGAGAUGCAUGUACUCUACGAAUAAGUAUCGGCUAACUCCGUGCCAGCAGCCGCGGUAAUACGGAGGAUACGAGCGUUAUCCGGAAUUAUUGGGUUUAAAGGGUGCGUAGGUGGCGUAUUAAGUCAGUGGUGAAAAGCUGCAGCUCAACUGUAGUCUUGCCGUUGAAACUGAUAUGCUAGAGAGGAGACGAGGUAUGCGGAAUGUGUGGUGUAGCGGUGAAAUGCAUAGAUAUCACACAGAACGCCGAUUGCGAAGGCAGCGUACCAGGCUCCGUCUGACACUGAAGCACGAAAGCGUGGGGAUCAAACAGGAUUAGAUACCCUGGUAGUCCACGCAGUAAACGAUGAAUACUAGAUUUUUGCGAUAUAGUGUAAGAGUCUAAGCGAAAGCGAUAAGUAUUCCACCUGGGGAGUACGCCGGCAACGGUGAAACUCAAAGGAAUUGACGGGGGCCC